AAAAAAUUAAAAAUAAAUAAAAGAGAGGAUCUAGCGAGUGCGAAUAGCAACAACAUGUAUGACUACUAACAUGCAUUGCUACGUAGAAGUUUCUAUACAAGAAAUAAUUAUUUGUCAAAAGACAAAAUAAAAAGGUUAAUAUUUUGUCGAUGAAGAUGUAAUAUUUUUGCUAUUUAUUUCUACUUAUUGUUUCUUGUUUUUAUAUUAUAUCAUUUUCUAGAAUAUUUUGUCUUGAGCAGGGAUCUUUCGGAAACAACCUCUCUAUCUAUAAGGUAGUAGUAUGGACCAUAUGCAC
rnacentral:lncRNA from 1 species